CAUUUUUUCUCGCUUUUCCUCUUCUCUCGAACAAACCGAUGGGGCUCCUCCUCACCGCCACCGGCGGCCGCACGACGCCGGCUGAGAUCUUCUCCUUCCCAAGCCAAGCAUCCUCCUAUAAUCUAUGCCGGCCAUGUGAUUGAGUUCCACCCUGUCUAGAUCUCUUUCUCGAGGGUCAGUCGCGACUCUUGUUCAACCCGCUCAAUACGCCGGAGUUUGUGUAUCAGGAUCCGUUUGAUGUCUACUUUUGCGGCAUGGAAUCUUGGCUAGCCGAGCCUGUCCAGAUCCCAGGCGAGCGCCCUGGGGAGGAGACGGUUUGGUGCUUGCCGCCGGCCAUCAUGGUGACGCCGGUGAUGGGGAAUCGGUGGGGAUUGAUCGACUCCGCGUCGGCUAGCAAGCUGGAGCGUAGGAGGAGGUUCGAGCUGGCGGGAUGCGUGCUGCAUAGGCUUCUGGACAAGGACCAUCUAGGCGUCAAGGUCAUCUUCCCCAUCUGCCAAGUUUGAGGCCAUCGUUGUUCUUGCUCCAAAGCUAUGAGGAGGUGGAGGCAGGGGGAGAUGCGUCUUGAGGCUGCGGAUCUUGAUCCAGAAGCAUCCUUUGCGCUCCACAUAGCGCACCACGAAGAGAACGAUCAAGAACCUAGCCAUCUCCUUGCAGGCGGGGUGACCUAGGAUCUGGCCUUACGCAUCAGCAGCCGCCUCCAGCGCUCCUCGGCGGAGUCCAUACCCGACGAGUAGGCGCCUUGCAUCGUGCCCAAUGGCUCCAUGCUAGCCGUCUCCACGGCGAAGUACAGCAGGCUCUCCCUGGCUGUCAGAAACUUCUUGCACACGUCCGCCGGCUUCCCCACCAGGUCGCAUGAGUAGGAGCCCAGCGAGUCAGGUCUAAGCCCCACUGCGACAUCAGGUGCUCGGUCUGUAUUGGCUCAGGAUUUCAAGUAAAUCAUUUUUUUCUGCCUCUCGCAGUAAAGACUUCAGAAUACAUUACUGGUAUGGGUUCGACUGUGUGUCCAUGGAUCUAAAAUCUAAUAUUAUGCACCUUGUUUGUGAUGUGGACGGCUGGCACGAGUAAUUUGGCCCUUCAAGUGUGGUGCUCCCUGUUGUGCUGAAAGAUUUUUCUGUUCUCUCUUAGACGCGUCAGUUUAGCCAGCCAGUGAUGAGGGUUGGUGGCUGGGGUGCCCCCAGAGCCGCCCCGGCUCCUUCGAUCUGGAAGGAGAGCUAUUGCCAUUGAUGAGGGUCGGUCGCUGGGUUACGAGAGAGAUCCUCCACUAUUGGUUAUGUGGCUGGGGAGACUAUGGUGCUCAAGCCUAUGAGCAGUCCCAUACGGGUGCUGCAGGUGCAGGGGAAGCCAAUGGAACAAGCGACAUCAAUGAUGGUAAAAAGCUUUAUUUCAGAAAUGUAGAACAAAAAAAAUAAGGAUAGAUAAAUGGGUGCACAUGUUAGGUCAGCUACCCCGGUAAUUUUUAUAGUUAGAGUUUAGUAGUUUACUAGAUGAGAAUGACAUGCACAAUGACUGUGGAGGCAAUUCAAUUUAUCAGUUUGAGAUAAAGUAUCCAACUAUUGAGCCAUUGCCAUGUUUUACAAGCUUAGCGAAGAUCUGUGGACUUUUGACAGAAAAGAGUUCAACUAAUAGGCCGACUCUGUUGGCAACCAUCAUUAGAUGUGUACAUCUGGUGGCUAAUUCCUUGGUGCCUAAUUACCAAGAGAAACUACAUUGCCUUUCUGGAGAAAUAGGUUGACAUCGCCUGACCUUAUCCUACUUAUCCGAAUAUUGCAUAGCUAGGUUUACUAGAUAAAUCAAUCCCUUCUUCUUAUGUAAAUAAAUCUACAGCCGCAUUGAAAAAUCUGCAGAUCUAAUUAUAAGGAAAAACAACUUCGGUAGUAGGUUUGUACAUAUAAUUAACGUAAUUCUUGCGUAAAUGGAAUUGUUUUCUUCAAGAGUUGGUGAAAGAUUUGUCGCCUCAUGGGUUCCAUUGGAAGAUCAUUGGAGUGCAGAAAUCAAGUGACCCAGAUAAAUUUGUUCGAGCUUGACUUCAUUGUCAUUGAAGGUACCUUCUAAAUAUUUAGGGCCUUAAUUCAGCUAUUAUAGCAUAUAAACACAAGGCAUGCAGUUAACUCAAGCUAUCCAUCUUAUUCUCGAUCGAUACCCACUCUAUUAUCAAAGAAUAGUACAUAAACAUUUAUGAUUUUUUGCCUACAAGCAUGCCUACACAAUCACUUGCUGCACUUACAUUUCAACUGAUUAAAUUUGUACAAUAUAGCUAACAGAUGCUAGAUUUCGGUCUACUGUAUGAUUACUUGCUAGGAAAAUUAGUUGUUUUCCACAUUGGCAUUUUCUCUGACACCAUAGAGAGAUAUCCUAUUUCCUCUAAAUGGGGGCAAAACGAAAUGCACUAUUGCAUCAAUAUAUAUACUUCUGCAUUUCUGUUCUCUAUUUGGAAGUUGCGUAACCAUCUCUGUUUCCAGUGAAAAAUAAUUGCAAAGUUUGAACAACAUUUGGAAUCCUGCGAUCCGUUGCACUACAAUUUGGUAUCUCCCAGAUUUUUUUCUAAUGUACUCCACAUGAAUUUCUUAAGGGAUCUUAACUGACAUGCAUGACAAAUGCCCGGGGUCUAUAGAAGAACCAUGAUGUAAAACUAGGUGUCAUACCUGAUUCCACUCGAUUCGGUGGGGUGGUGGAGAGCACAGGAGUCCACUCGGCUGAGACUCUGAUUUCUGGUGGCCGAGAGCAGGCUUCUGAUUUCUGAACUCUGGUUUGUGAAGGCGUCAGUGUCCAGGUCGCAGAAUCGCUGCACCUGUGCAGGAUGGGAGCCAAAAAAGGACGAAGAAAAAAAAGGGAUGCUCAUGCUUCAGCGUGAGCUCUCCACCAAGCAUGAGCUCUCCGGCAAACUGAUUCGUGCCACCCAUGGCGAAGUACCACAAGAAAUUUGUCUGAAUGCUUACGAAUUUCAGGAGUUCGAAGGGGAUUGGAAAAGCAGAAAGAAGGUAGGUGUCUUGGGUGGAGAAGAGGGAGAAGAGAUGGGGACCGGAAAUACUCAGCGGUGGCCUAAAAUAAUACAAUAUCAUGUGGAGACAAGGCCUAGGUAGCACAAUACAUGUGCGUGGUGAGAACUGAGAAGACAGCGGAUCAGAGUGUGUGUUCGUUACACGUGUAUAUGUCUACAUGUAUGACACAUACGUCUGGUAGUGUAUUUUGGACGUAAAUAAUAAGGAAUAUACCUCAUGCAUUGCAUUAUUUUAUCGUGUUCAUUUUUCAUCUCUCAGACAUUUAUUUGCGGUACAAUCUUAUCACGUAAUUAUAAAAUUUAGCUGG